UCCUUCCUAUGUUCAUGCGCCUCAAAUAGUCGUCACCAUUCACCCACAGUUCGGUGCACAUCUUAUCCUGCGCAAGCUGUAAUUCUAGAAUCCCAUGUGCUCUUGUCAGAUAAACAGAGGAAAAUAAACCAGAUCAUAGUAUAAAACUCAAAUCUUUUUAUUAAUUGAAUUCAGAACUUUGUGCUCACAUAUGUCUUGACAAACCAAAAUAUUUCCAAGAAAAAGAGUGAAACGCAUGGACCAAUAUAUGUCUUCCUAUUUUCGUCGCUUUUCACACGAAGUCCAAAUUUGCUUCUUGCGCCUUGGUGGCACGACUGUGAGGGUCCAAGUAAAGCAAAAAUUAAUUAGUCAUUACAAAAUAAUUGCCCAAAAUAUCAAAAUAUAAAGUAUUUAAGACAUCAGGGGUGAUGUCAUCACCACAUCCAUAUCUUCUCCGAAAUUCUAAACAUUUAUACAUCCUGAGAAUGGUCACAAAUUCUCUACCUCUCUCUCUCUCUCUCUCUGGUAGAGAAAAUGGAGAUAUCAGUUGCAUCGGUAACAGUUUCUGUAGCUGUAGUUGUUGUGUCAUGGUGGGUAUGGAGAACUUUACAGCGGGUUUGGCUUAAACCAAAGAUGCUUGAGAGUUACCUGAGAAGACAAGGUCUUGCCGGAACUCCUUACACGCCUCUUGUCGGUGAUUUGAAGAGAAAUUUUAGCAUGCUGGCUGAGGCAAGAUCCAAACCCAUCAACCUAACAGAUGAUAUCACACCACGUAUCGUGCCUUAUCCGUUGCAAAUGCUCAAGACUCAUGGUAUGCUUCCCGGUUGGCAUCUUGAUUCCUCUUUGUUUAGAACUAUUUUGUAGAGUAUCUAGAAAAAGUUUCAACUUUCGUAUCUCUAUGUGGUUGAAACAGGGAGGACUUUCUUUACAUGGUUUGGACCCAUACCAACAAUCACCAUAAUGGAUCCUGAGCAAAUCAAAGAAGUGUUCAACAAAGUUUAUGAUUUCCAGAAGGCACAUACGUUUCCUCUGGGCAGAUUAAUAGCGGCUGGACUCGUUAGUUAUGAUGGUGAUAAAUGGACAAAACACCGAAGAAUCAUCAACCCGGCUUUCCACCUUGAGAAGAUCAAAGUUUAUAAGCUUUCUUUUCCGUAGUCCCAGUUUAGCUUUAUGUAUGUAUGUCCAUUUGGUUCUGAACCAAUUUGUGUCCUCUGCUUUUAUGUACAGAAUAUGGUACCUGCGUUCCACCAGAGCUGCAGCGAGAUUGUUGGCGAAUGGGACAAGUUAGUGACGGAUAAACAGUCAUCCUGUGAGGUGGAUAUUUGGCCUUGGCUUGUGAGUAUGACUGCAGAUGUGAUCUCCCGUACUGCAUUUGGCAGCAGCUACAAAGAAGGGCAGAGGAUAUUUGAGCUCCAAGCGGAAUUAGCACAGCUCAUCAUUCAAGCUUUUCGGAAAGCUAUUAUCCCUGGAUAUCGGUAAUAAAAUCCCAAACUUGUCUGCUUUUAGAACAAGGCCUUUUAGAGCUUCAGUAGUGCUGCAUUCUACUAGAGACUUUGAACCAUGUUUUGUAAUAAAAACCCUAACUUGUCUCUCUGUCGUCUGUUCGUGUAGUUAUUUCCCUACAAAGGGUAAUAGAAGGAUGAAAGCAGCAGCUAGAGAAAUCAAAUUUAUACUGAGAGGGAUCGUUAACAAAAGGCUUAGGGCAAGAGAAGCUGGGGAAGCACCAAGUGACGAUUUGCUGGGUAUACUUCUUGAAUCGAAUUUGGGACAAACAAAAGGAAAUGGAAUGAGUACCGAGGAACUGAUGGAGGAGUGCAAGUUGUUCUAUUUCGCUGGGCAAGAGACUACUACAGUACUUCUGGUUUGGACAAUGGUGUUGUUAAGCCAACACCAAGAUUGGCAGGCUCGUGCAAGAGAAGAAGUGAAGCAAGUUUUUGGCGAUAAAGAACCUGAUGCAGAAGGCUUGAACCAGCUCAAAGUUGUAAGUAAACCGAACCAAAAACCUUCAAGUGACGUGAGUUCUUUUGUUGCAUUGAAGCUGAAAAUUUGAUCCCUCACAGAUGACGAUGAUAUUAUAUGAAGUCCUUAGGCUAUAUCCUCCAGUAGUCCAGCUGACCCGAGCCAUUCACAAAGAGAUGCAGCUAGGUGACCUGACACUACCAGGCGGCGUUCAGAUAAGUCUACCAAUUCUGCUAAUCCAACGCGACAGGGAGCUGUGGGGAAACGAUGCAGGGGAGUUCAAGCCAGAUAGAUUCAAAGACGGUCUCUCAAAGGCAACAAAGAACCAAGUCUCCUUCUUUCCUUUUGCGUGGGGACCGAGGAUCUGCAUUGGCCAAAAUUUUGCACUGCUUGAGGCAAAGAUGGCAAUGACACUGAUUCUACGGAAAUUCUCCUUUGAGCUUUCUCCUUCUUAUGUUCACGCGCCUUACACAGUCCUCACUACUCACCCACAGUUCGGUGCUCCUCUUAUCUUGCACAAGCUCUAAUCGUAUAAACUCCUUGUUCACAAAUAUACUUUCCAAUUUCCAUACACAGAUGAAACAACUCCAUAUUAUCAUACAAAACUCAAAUCUUGAUACGGUUUUGAAGUCACAGAACUCACGGAACAAAUCUCAGUUGUGAAACAAAAACCCAAGACUAUAGACAAGAGAUCACAAACCCUUUUUUUGAGAAUUGACUCAGUAUUUGUUCUUCAUCAACGACUAUUCUCUUCCGGUUACUGAUUAGAAGCGGCAACGCUUGUAUCCAGAGAAGCCGUAGCCAAAACACUUCAUACCAAUCAAACAUGUUGGAUUACGUCGUGAUUUCGCCUCAACAAUGCUCAACCAAAUCUUACAGUCUCUUUGAAACAGAGUAACCCAUAGAAUAAUCGAACGACAGAUGAGAUUCUCCAAAUCGAUCGCUUCUGAAUUCGCUAAAAACCCCAAUUUCUUCAUCAACGGUGAUAUUCGCGGAGGAGAGGUUCUAUAUGACGGCGCAAUGUUAUAAUUUGAGAAAAUGUCUGAAAACUCCCUUUUUGUCAAGAGCUAACCUCAUAUCUCCCCAACGAAAACAGAAAGGAAUUUUGAUUUAUUUUUAAUUCGUUUUGUAUGGAUUUUACUUGUAUACCCCAACUGAAAUCGAAUAUUUACAAUAAAAAUUUGGAUCUAUUCGAUCCAGACCCGAUCCAUUAUCCCAAAGAGAAUAUAUUUUAUUGGAUCUCUCUUCUAUUCUUCGGUUUCUUUUUCUUUUGAAAACGAAACUGAAACUUCUCCUUCUCAAUUUCAAAAGCUUUUCGAUUUAUGUUCCUCAAACCUCAAACCGCUCUCGAUUUCAAUCCUCUCCCUUCUCUACUCAAAUUCUCAACAAGAAUCCUAAUCUCUUCUUUCUCAGAAUCUUUUCUUCUCCUUCUUUAACCCUAACCCUAAUGCCGCUGAAAACAAUGCUGAGAGGAGUAGGAACGAAGGAGAAUUCAACGACGGAGGAGCCUCCGCCGGGAACGAAGCCAAUCGAUGCUGUCACAAAGGCAACGACGGAGCCUCCGAUGACGACGGAGGAGCCAUCAGCGUCGAAGCAAAAUCCGGUCGUAAUUGAGGGAAGAGGAGUUGAAGAAGAACAAAUCCCGACCAUAAUCACGACCGUAGUGGAAGAAGGAGAGAAGUCUGACAACAAUGAGGAAGAAAAUUCUGAGAAGGAUGAGAAAGAAGAGAGUGAAGAAGAAGAGAGUGAAGAAGAAGAGAAAGAAGAAGAAGAGAAAGAGGAAGAGGAGAAAGAAGAAGAGGGGAAUGUUGCCGGAGGAGGAUCCUCCGAUGAUAGUAGUAGAACCUUGGGCAAAGAGUCCUCCUCCGAUGAGAAUAUGGAUGAUGAGACUGCAGUGGGAAAGCAAGUGGAUAUUCCGGCGGCUAUGGUAAGGAUUUCUCAAGUAUUUGAAUGGUGUGAAACUGGUAGAACAGGAUAAUACUAUGAUUUCUGUAGAAAACUGUCAUUACUAGGAUAUAACUAUGUGUAUGAAUUCUGGGUAACAUUGGUAGUACUAAGAUAGAACUAUGUGUAUGAUUUCUGGGUAAUACUGUCAUUACUAGGAUAUAACUAUGCGUUUCUGGGUAAUAUUGUCAUUACUAGAAAAUAACUACGUGUAUGAUUUCUGGGUAAUACUGUCAUUACUAGGAUAUAACUAUGUGUCUGAUUCUAGGUAACGUCGGUAGUAAUAUGAAUGAAUGUUUGUUGCAGAAGAUCAACGAGAUGGGCCAAGAGAAUGAUGGGGAUCCGAAAGAGAAGGAUGGUGAUCUAGAGAAAGAUGGUGAUCAAGAGAAGGACCCGAAAGAGAAGGACCCAAAAGAGAAGGAUCCGAAAGAGAAGGACCCAAAGAGAAGGACCCGAAUGGUCCUUCAAAACCCGUGGAAGCAAACUUCACAAGAAGGACCACUCAGAGAACCAAGAGUUGAAUUUGGUUGUACUUGUUAGGAUUUGAAUUUGGAAUGUUUGGUUUUAGGAUUUGAAUGUGGUUUGUUUUGUUUGGAUUUGACUCCGGAUUUGUUAUGUUAGGAUUUGAAUUUGAUAAGUUUUUUUUGAAUAUCAAUUUGGAUAUGAAUUGGAAUUUGAUAUGUUAGGAUUUAACGAUAAUACUGAGAAUACAAGAGAAUACUAGGAUUUAACGAUAAUACUGAGAAUCCAAGAGAAUACUAAGAUUUAACGAUAAUACUGAGAAUACAAGGGAAAACUAAGACUUAACGAUAAUAUUGAGAAUACAAGAGAAUACUAAGAUUUAACGAUAAUACAGAGAAUACAAGGGAAAACUAUGAUUUAACGAUAAAACUGGGAAUACAAAGGAAUACUUAAUGACGAUAAUACUGGAAAUACAAGGGAAUACUCAAUAAAAGUCUUACAAACCAAAGACAGAAAUUAAGUUCACACAAACCCAAUAAUUCCUCACUUUCCACAACAAACUCUCCACAAAGUCCCCAUCUUUUUUUGGAUCUCAUCCAACUCCGAACGCAUUUCUUGGUUAGAGUACUCCAAGCUUUGAAUCUUUUGGUGAUGGUUAUCAACUUGCUCUAUCCCAUAGCUUUAUCCCAAAGUUUCCGAAUGUAUAACCCAUCAUUCUACAAAACAUGAAUUCUUAAUAGAAAUCAAUUAUUCUAAAACAAGAUUGAUGAUAUUUAUAUCUUCAAUUUACCUUAUACACGAUGCAUUUAUAGUAUCUUUUUCCUUUGUCACCAUCGUUCUCAGAGAUUUUGUCAAGGAUUUGUCCACCACAAGGACAAAUUGCCGGAAUUCCUUCCAUCAUUGCAACUUCUUCAAGUUGCUGUAUUAUCCUCUUAGCGCUCUUCAUCUCAUCAUACCAUGGAUCACUCUCACACAAUCGAUCCAUAAAUGAUUGGAGAGAAGAAUUUUUGAGUGAGAGAGAAUGAAGAGAAUGAAGAGAAAUUGAGAUCGGGAGAGAGAGAGAGAGAGAGAGAGAGAGAGUGAAUUUCGAGAGAGAGAGAGAGAGAGAGAGAGAGAGAGAGAGAGAGAGAGAGAGAGAGAGAGAGAGAGAGUUUAUUUCGAUAGAGAUAAAUGAUUUCGAGAGAGAGAGAAGAUAUUUUGUGGGAAAUUGGUUUUGGGGGGAAUUUGGUUUUGGGGGAAAAUUUGUUUUGUUUUGGGAGGAAAUUGAAAUUGGAGGGAAAGUUAAUUUUUGGGGGGAAAGGUGUUUUCCACGUGGGCGCAGAUAUUUAGACAUGUGCGCCGUUUUUUUAAAGUUAGUUGUACUCUAGUUUUUGGUUGUACAAAAUGCCCACAUAGUUGUAUUUUUUGUGUUUUCCAGUUUAGGCAGUAUUACAUAUCUUUUAAGAUGAUUUAUCUAGUUGUUCAGAUUAAGGAAGUCUAUCAUUAUAGAAUUCUAAAGGUUUAAUGUAAUUAUAUGUAGACAAUAUAUGAAAUUGUAAAAUUUCAAUCUUAAGUUGGAGUUUAUAUCAAACGUGAGCUUAAAAGUAUAAGGAAUAUGUAGGAUAGUGUCUAUUAAAAUGUGUUUUGACCAAAUAUUUUUUUUCCUAAUUUAAUUUGUUUUAAUUCAUUUUUAAGAGUUCUUCAUCUUUGCAUAAUCUAUUUAAUAUUUGAUGUUUGAAACAAACAUAAAUUCGAAUUUUAAUAUCCUUCAAUAGUAUUCCCUUGUAUUUCCAGUAUUAUCUUGUAAUCAUAGUAUUCCCUUGUUUUCCCAGUAUUAUCGUCUAAUCAUAGUAUUCCCGUGUAUUCUCAGUAUUAUUGUUAAAUCAUUGUAUUCUCCUGUAUUCUCAGUAUAACCCUUAUGCCAAUAAAUUAAAACAUAGUAUUACUGAAGGAAAGUCUAGUGUUACAUAGCUGCACAACACGAAUAAGGUUUACAAAUCAUAAAAUCAAAUAUUAUGGGUGCCAAAUAACAACCAUUGCAGCGACUGCCUCGGCCUCCUUUUGUCUGAGUCUUUUGACGUUUUGGAUGUCUUUCUCCGGUGGAAAGAAACCUAAGCACUUCUGUUCUACCCUUCUUCUUUUUCCGAGGCAGAGGUAAUACCUUCAACGCUUUGAUGUCAUCCGGGAUAUCCCACUGUGAUCUAUUCGGGACAAAAUAAAUAGUCCUAUAAUACGCUAAUGCCCACAACUCCGCCCAAUAAUUCUUUGAAACCAAUUCAUGUAAUUCCAUAUCUCGAGUUCUUGUUGUAUCGUGAUCCAAUCUCAGGAUCUUGAGUAUCAUCAACCUCCACUAUUGCCUCAUUUUGUUCUGUUUCUUGUCCCUCCAAUUCGCCCAUCACGAUGGCAGCAUUAUCUCUCAUUUCAUCAUCAUUUGAACCCAAAUCAGCAUAGUUCUUACCAAUAGAACUUUUAUUGACGACCUCCACUCUCGACAGUUACUUGGGCAAUUCCGGUGGAGUGAUGACGUCAACAGUCAAAGGAUAUCUACUAACCAUUUCACCUGAAGAUAUAUAGACACCGACAUCCUCAUCAUCACUAAUGUGUAUCUCUUGAGUUGGUCCCAACAUCACUGCAUUGCACUUCAUUUGCAAUUUAACCAUACUUUUAUCUAAUCCAAGCUUCGUGCAAAUCCUACUUUCUAACAUGGAGAGAGUUAUUUUCCCUCCUGGUGUAUUCAUCAACAAGUUGUACGCUCGAUCUUUCCAUAUAAAAUAUAUAAUCACCUUCUCCACCAUUGUAUCCUACAAAAUCAAUACAAAAACCUCUAUCAGAUAUACUAGUUAUACUACAAUUCUGGGUAACACAAGUAUAACUAGUUAUACUACACAUAUCUGUAUAAUACAGUUAUAACUAAUAAUAGUACAUGUAAAUGGGUAAUACUACUGUACCUAAGAAAUACUACAUGUAAAUGGUUAAUACUAGUGCAACUAAGUCAUACUACAUACAUCUGGAUAAAACUAGAGCUACGGGUAAUACUACAUAUAUAUUUUUCAAUUGAAUCAUGUGCAAUUCUACUCAGUUCUACCAGUUGUAUUUCCCGACAAUAACUCAAAUCGCAUGGUUUCGGGUUCAAAACUACAAUUCACUCUGAUUCAGUUGUUGUAAUCCAUUUCUUACCCAUUUUACAGAUCUAUUCAACCCAGGCAGUAUGCAUAAACUUCCAAUGUGCAUACCCAAACACAAUUUGCUUAAUCUCAAAUCUAAUUGACAACAAUCUCCUAGUUUUCUAGGUUCAAAACUUCAAUAUUAAGCUCUAUGCAGCUCGAGUAAGAUACCUUUUCUUUCUAUCUCGACGCAACUCGUCGGAGGGAGAGGAUACGACAACAAUGGCGACUGAAAUCAAAUUUCGAUGAUGAGAGCGAUGAGAGCUCGAGCGAGAAGAAGCUGAGAGGAGAGAGAGAGGAGAGGCAAGAGAGAGUCGAGAGAGAGUCGAGAGAUUUUUUUUUUCCUGUUUUAUUUUUUUUUUCUUUUCAAAAACUAAAUAAUUUAAAAAUGAAUAAAAUAAAGAAGGAGAGGGUAAAUUCGUCAACUCACAAUUCAUUAAUAGAGUGGGGGAUAUGAAGACAAAAAUAGGAUACAAGAGGUUAGUGUUUGGCAAAAAAGGAGUUAUAAGAUUAUUUCUCUUAUAAUUUAGACUGAACGACGCCGUUCGAAUAGUUUUUUUAAUCAUUGUUUUUUUCCGUUCCAAACUAUGUCGUUUGAUCAAACUCAAUUUGUGCUACCAAUUAUUAAUUUGUGUCAUACUUAUGCUAAGACCAUGCUAAUCUUCUUCUUUUUUCUUUUUUGAAGCUAAUGUACUCGGAGGAACAAUCGAUAUAUCCACUUCAAAACUGAAGCUAUUUCUAGGUGAUUUAAGAUUUUUAACAUCGUUAAUGAGUAUUUCAUGGGAAGUUCACUAUAAAUUAUAAAGUAACCCUAUAAUUAUGGUUAUUGGUGAGUUAAUUAUAUUCAGUAGCACUUUAAAAAGAAAUGUACGUUCAGUCCAGAACAAUUACAGCUUACGAUCGAAAUCUGAAAUCAAAUCACUCUAACUUUAAAAAAAAAAAAAAACCUUAAAUGUGUAGGUUUUUCUUUUGGAAUGAAAAAGAAUAAUCCUUGCGUAAUAAGAUAGCAAUUGAUUGAAAAACAAAAUAGCUCAUGUCGGCCUAUACACUAUAAUAUUCUAGACACGUCCCUUUCUGUUGGUUGUUAACUAAAAUAGCUCAUGGCGGCUAUUACAAAAUGCACCACUUGAGAUGACUAUGAAGGUACAACAAAAUAAAUAUUUGUCAUAUGUGAGAGCAAACUAAUUGGAAAAACAGGAUGAGAUUGAGAUCAUAACAAAUGAGCAAUACUAAAAUACACUAAACCAGGUUUAGUAAACCUUAUGUCCUUAUCAGAGUUUUACGCCAUUUUAUAUAGUUUGUGUUUUUGAGGGAGUUGUAUAUUAUUUCUGACGUUGGAGGGAUUUAGUAGUUUUACUUUUCUUUUCUUUUUUUUUGUCGUUUUACUUUUUUUUUUGAUAUUUCUUUAUUUCACGUUUCUAUUUAACUUAGAGUUUUUUUUAUAUAUUUAUGUUUUUAGUUUCUUCUCUACAUAUAUAAAAAUUCUUAAGUUAUUUGUAAGAUACGUUUUAUUAUCUAAUUAAUAAAAGUAAAGAGUUUUUUUUCUCUAAUUGGUAGAAUUUCAAGAAUUUCAAUCCUUUCAAGUUCGACAGUUUGACAUAAUACUUGUUAUUCCUAUCAUAGACAUAAUGCUUGUUAUUCCUAGAUAUUCUAAAUGUGUCAAUUUCUCAAAACAUUGUAAUUCUCAAAUUUAAAUAUGAAAGUUUUUAGUUAUUUUUCUUUUUUGAAAAAAAACUCUUACGGUGAUCAUCGACAAUUUUGUUACGAUGAUCGUAAAACAAUAUUGUUACGAUGAUCGACAGUUUUUAUUCAUUAUGAUAUAUUUUAGAUAUUAAUAAGAAGCAUAUCCUAAGAUCUAAGUUAAGAAAAAUUUAGAUAUUUUAUGUGAUUAUUUAUCAGUUUUAAAUGAAUAUGUUAAAUUUACUUUAAUCAGUGUUUGUUUAGCUAAUGUGCUGAGACCGGAGAGUGCUAAGAUACAAGGUCUAAAAGUAAAAAAAUAAAAUAUAUAGAUAUUAAUUUAUUUUUAAUAAUAGAUAUUUUAGGUUUUUGUAUAUAUAACAGCAUUUGGUCUAUAAAAUAUAUGAGCAGGGCCUGACUUUAAUGCAAAAACAACAGUAGCCUAUGUACAUGUACAAAAAAGUCGUUUUAGUCAAAUGUGAAAAUCAAAUGAUUUUGUAAUUAUUUUUGUUUUAAAGAAAUGUCAAAAAGUUGAAGACGUUCAUGUCAGAGCAUCUUUACUGGUGAUAUAUCCAAUAUGGAUGUCUAAAACAUUUUUUAUAGUUAACUUAUUAUAUAUUUUUUUGUUUGGUCAACAUUAUAUUAUAUUUUAAUACGAGUAACUAAGAAACAGGAUGGAGUUAGGCGAGAUGUCAAAUUUUGUUUAUUACGGCUUCGUGGCAAGGGACUGUGAACCACGACAUCAGGGGUGAUGUAAUCAACUAAUCACCGCAUCCAUAUCUUCUCCAAAAGUUUCAACUUUAUGUUCCUAGAACUUUUAGCAAAUUAUCUACCUCUAUCUUUCUCUCUUCUUUAAGAGAAAAAAAAAUGGAGAUAUCAGUUUCUUCGGUAACAUUUUCACUAGCUGUAGUUGUUGUGUCUUGGUGGGUAUGGAGAACGUUAAAGUGGGUUUGGUUCACACCAAAGAUGCUUGAGCGUUCCCUGAGAAGACAAGGUCUUUCCGGAACUUCUUACACGCCUCUAAUCGGCGAUUUUAAAAAGAUGAUCAGCAUGUUCAUUGAGGCAACAUCCAAACCCAUCAAACCAACAGAUGAUAUCACCCCUCGUGUCAUGCCUCAUCCCUUGCAAAUGCUCAAGACUCAUGGUAUCCUUCCAUAGUUCGCUUCUUGAUUCUUCUCUGUUUAGAACUUAUAACAAAACUGUUGCAAAGUAUCUGAUCUAUAUAUAAACUUUUGUAUCUUUAUUAUGCUCUUGGAACAGGAAGGACUAACUUAACAUGGUUUGGACCAAUACCAACAAUCACCAUAAUGGAUCCUGAGCAAAUCAAGGAAGUGUUCAACAAAGUCUAUGACUUCCAGAAGGCGCAUACGUUUCCUUUAAGCAAAAUACUAGGCACGGGACUCGUUAGUUAUGAUGGCGAUAAAUGGGCGCAACACCGAAGAAUCAUCAAUCCGGCUUUCCACCUUGAGAAGAUCAAGGUUUAAGGCUUUAUUUCUCAGUCACAUAUCAAGUUGUAUUUUUUCAUUUGGCUCUUCUGACCCAACUUUUGCGUGGAUCUGCUUCUAUCUAUUAUAUAUAGAAUAUGGUACAUGUGUUCCACGAAAGCUGCAGCGAGCUUGUUGGUGAGUGGGACAAGUUAGUCUCGGAUAAAGGGUCCUCAUGUGAGGUGGACGUGUGGCCUGGGCUUACGAGUAUGACUGCAGAUGUGAUCUCCCGUACUGCUUUUGGUAGCAGCUACAGAGAAGGACACAGGAUAUUUGAACUCCAGGCAGAACUAGCACAGCUAGUCAUGCAAGCUUUUCAGAAAUUUUUUAUUCCCGGAUAUAUGUAAUGAAAAAACUCUACUUGUCUAGCUUUAAUAUAGUGCUUUUAAAUCUGGAUUCUUGAUCUUUAACUUUUAGUGCUGCAAUCUAUUAGAGAUAUGACCUGUGUUGUCAUAAUCAUGUGCUUAUUGUUUGUGUAGUUAUCUCCCAACAAAGGGUAAUAGAAGGAUGAAAACAGCAGCCAGAGAAAUCCAAGAUAUACUGAGAGGGAUCAUUAACAAAAGGGAAAGGGCAAGAGAAUCUGGAGAAGCACCAAGCGAGGAUUUGCUAGGUAUACUUCUUGAAUCAAACUUGGGGCAAACGGAAGGGAAUGGAAUGAGUACCGAGGAUAUGAUGGAAGAAUGCAAGUUGUUCUAUUUGGCCGGGCAAGAGACAACAUCAGUACUUCUGGUUUGGACAAUGGUUCUGUUGAGCCAACACCAAGAUUGGCAGGCUCGUGCACGAGAGGAAGUGAAGCAAGUUUUUGGCGAUAAACAACCUGAUACAGAAGGCCUUAACCAACUCAAAGUUGUAAGUAUAAACCAAAUUUUUUAUAAAACAAACUUUUUCAAAUGACUUCACUACUUUUGUUGCAUUUUGAUGAUUUAAGCUGAUCCCUCACAGAUGACGAUGAUAUUAUAUGAGGUCCUUAGGCUUUAUCCUCCUGUAGUCCAGCUGACCCGAGCCAUUCACAAAGAGAUGAAGCUCGGAGAUCUGACUUUACCAGGCGGUGUUCAGAUCAGUCUACCUGUUCUGCUUGUCCAUCGCGACACGGAGCUGUGGGGAAACGAUGCAGGGGAGUUCAAGCCUGAGAGAUUCAAAGACGGCCUCUCAAAAGCAACAAAGAACCAAGUCUCCUUCUUUCCCUUUGCGUGGGGACCAAGGAUCUGCAUUGGCCAGAAUUUUACAUUGCUUGAGGCAAAGAUGGCAAUGAGUUUGAUUCUACAGAGAUUCUCCUUCGAGCUUUCUCCUUCCUAUGUUCACGCGCCUUACACAAUCAUCACCCUUUACCCACAGUUCGGAGCUCAUCUUAUGCUGCACAAGCUCUAAUCACAUAACCCCUUGUUUUGUUAUCAAAUAAACUCAUUAUCUUUUUAUGUAUCCAAGUCAGAACUCGUGUCAUAGUUUAAUAAAACCCUUCAAGAUGUGUCAAACCCUGGAUUGCAAUAUAAUCAUCGACUGUUGCUUGACACUUCUUUUCAAACAUCACUAACAAGAGACAAACUAUGUCUUUAUUAACUCUGAUUCUUCCUCCCUAAUAAUUAUGUGUUGCACCAAAAGAUAUUAGACCGAACUCGUGUCUCUCAAACUAUUAUGAAAACUUCCCACAUUAACAUUACCAAAACACUUGGAAUUCAUAUCUUUAUUUGAAAAGCAAGACCCGAGAUACAGAAAUGAUCGAAAUGAAUAAUACAGUCUCACAACAGAAGAAACUAAAUAAAACACUUCCAGAGAUACAGAACAAAAACAAAGGGAACAGAGAGAUAUGUAACUUUUUUUUUUAUUGAAGUAAAAUAUUAUAACAACCCGUUGAAGAAAUACAGAACAAAAACAAAGGGAACAGAGAGAUUUAAAGUUUACUUUUUAUUUUAUGUCGACAAAACAAAAUACUUCAAGUUCAAUGUUUAGGUACCAAAAAACCCAUUGAUUGGAUGGUGGUGGUAAAUGACAAAGACACGUCACAAAGUUGAAGACGUUCGUCCCUUGCCCGCCAGUCAAGUUAUGACUUAUGAGAGUCACAUAACCAAUAUUAAUAUAUCUCCUAUUUUGUCUACUUUUUUUUACAGAAGUCCAAAUUUGGUUCUUGCGCCUUCGUGGCACGCAAAAUAUCGAUUACUUCAAAAGAAUUAUAUCAACACAAACACUAUAAAGUAUAUAAGACAUCAUCGGUGAUGUCAUCACCACAUCCAUAUCUUUUCCAAAGUUUUCAACCUUUUAUUCCCCGAAAUUUUUUAGCAAAUUCUCUACCUCUAUCUCUCUCUUCUCUGGGAGGAAAAAUGGAGAUAUCGGUUGCAUCGGUAACAAUAUCAGUAGUUCUAGCUGUUGUGUCAUGGUGGAUAUGGAGAACUUUACAGUGGGUUUGGUUUAAGCCAAAGAUGCUUGAGCAUUACCUGAGAAGACAAGGUCUUGCCGGAACACCUUACACGCCUCUAGUCGGCGAUUUGAAGAAGAAUUUCACCAUGUUGUCGGAGGCAAGGUCCAAACCCCUCAAACUAACGGAUGACAUC
rnacentral:lncRNA from 1 species